AUUUUUUUUCCUUUUCUUUUUUACUUUUUUCUUUUUUCAUAUUUUAAUCCUUUUGUUAUUGUCGAGGGGAAGCCAAGAAAAACUCAACAAACAACUUCAUUUGUUUUUUUUUUGUGGCACAAAAGAGAAGGUGAAAAAACAACUCAUCGAAGAUGUUUUGGCACACUUUUGUCCACUGUCGUUGUCUUCUUCAAUGACUUCCCUGGAUUUCGGAUUGAAUCAA
rnacentral:ribozyme from 13 species